rnacentral:rRNA from 1 species
CGCGGCCUAUCAGCUUGUUGGUGGGGUAAUGGCCUACCAAGGCGGCGACGGGUAGCCGGCCUGAGAGGGUGUACGGCCACAUUGGGACUGAGAUACGGCCCAGACUCCUACGGGAGGCAGCAUUGGGGAAUAUUGCACAAUGGGCGCAAGCCUGAUGCAGCGACGCCGCGUGGGGGAUGAAGGCCUUCGGGUUGUAAACUCCUUUCGCUGGGGACGAAGCUUUGUGUGACGGUACCUAGAUAAGAAGCACCGGCUAACUACGUGCCAGCAGCCGCGGUAAUACGUAGGGUGCGAGCGUUGUCCGGAAUUACUGGGCGUAAAGGGCUCGUAGGUGGUUUGUCGCGUCGUCUGUGAAAUUCUGGGGCUUAACUCCGGGCGUGCAGGCGAUACGGGCAUAACUUGAGUGCUGUAGGGGUAACUGGAAUUCCUGGUGUAGCGGUGAAAUGCGCAGAUAUCAGGAGGAACACCGAUGGCGAAGGCAGGUUACUGGGCAGUUACUGACGCUGAGGAGCGAAAGCAUGGGUAGCGAACAGGAUUAGAUACCCUGGUAGUCCAUGCCGUAAACGGUGGGCGCUAGGUGUGAGGGUCUUUCUACGACUUUCGUGCCGUAGCUAACGCAUUAAGCGCCCCGCCUGGGGAGUACGG